AAAGAUUUAGUUAAAUUUUAAUAACAUUAGAAUGUCAAACUAAAAUUAUCUUUAAGAUAAUCUUUU
rnacentral:tRNA from 1 species